UCCUACGGGGGGCAGCAGGGAGGAAUAUUGGGCAAUGGGGGAAACCCUGACCCAGCAACGCCGCGUGAAGGAAGAAGGCCUUCGGGUUGUAAACUUCUGUGACAGGGGACGAAUAAAUGACGGUACCCUGAGAGGAAGCCACGGCAAACUACGUGCCAGCAGCCGCGGUAAUACGUAGGUGGCGAGCGUUGUCCGGAAUCACUGGGCGUAAAGGGCGCGUAGGUGGCUUUGCAAGUCACAUGUGAAGGACCAGGGCUUAACCUUGGGGGGUCAUGUGAAACUGCAGGGCUUGAGUGCAGUAGAGGAAAGCGGAAUUCCUGGUGUAGCGGUAAAAUGCGUAGAGAUCAGGAGGAACACCGGUGGCGAAGGCGGCUUUCUGGGCUGCAACUGACGCUGAGGCGCGAAAGCGUGGGGAGCAAACAGGAUUAGAUACCCCGGUAGA
rnacentral:rRNA from 1 species